rnacentral:rRNA from 1 species
CUAUUAGGUGAAGUCAAUGAUCCCAUGCUGCCAAGAAAAGCCUCUAGCGAGCUUCGAGCGGCCCGUACCCCAAACCGACACAGGUGGUCAGGUAGAGAAUACCGAGGCGAUCGGGCGAACUGUGGUUAAGGAACUCGGCAAAUUACCCCCGUAACUUCGGGAGAAGGGGGGCCACAGACUGUCAUACCCCACGCGGGUGGCAGCAGUAGGUGGCCGCAGAGACCAGGGGGAAGCGACUGUUUACUAAAAACACAGGUCCGUGCGAAGUCGUAAGACGAUGUAUACGGACUGACGCCUGCCCGGUGCUGGAACGUUAAGGGGACCGGUUAGUCCGCAAGGGCGAAGCUGAGAACUUAAGCGCCAGUAAACGGCGGUGGUAACUAUAACCAUCCUAAGGUAGCGAAAUUCCUUGUCGGGUAAGUUCCGACCUGCACGAAUGGCGUAACGACUUCCCUACUGUCUCAACCACAGGCCCGGCGAAAUUGCACUACGAGUAAAGAUGCUCGUUACGCGCGGAAGGACGGAAAGACCCCGGGACCUUCACUAUAGCUUGACAUUGGUAUCCGAAUUUAAUUGUGUAGGAUAGGUGGGAGGCUUUGAUCCGCGGACGCCAGUCCGUCGGGGAGCCAACGUUGAAAUACCACUCUGUUGACUUUGGGUAUCUAACUUCGGACCGUGAUCCGGUUCAGGGACAGUGUCUGGUGGGUAGUUUAACUGGGGCGGUUGCCUCCUAAAAUGUAACGGAGGCGCCCAAAGGUUCCCUCAGCCUGGUUGGCAAUCAGGUGUUGAGUGCAAGUGCACAAGGGAGCUUGACUGUGAGACUGACAGGUCGAGCAGGGACGAAAGUCGGGACUAGUGAUCCGGCACCUGCGAGUGGAAGCGGUGUCGCUCAACGGAUAAAAGGUACCCCGGGGAUAACAGGCUGAUCUUCCCCAAGAGUCCAUAUCGACGGGAUGGUUUGGCACCUCGAUGUCGGCUCGUCGCAUCCUGGGGCUGGAGUAGGUCCCAAGGGUUGGGCUGUUCGCCCAUUAAAGCGGCACGCGAGCUGGGUUUAGAACGUCGUGAGACAGUUCGGUCCCUAUCCUCCGCGCGCGUAGGAGACUUGAGAAGAGCUGUCCCUAGUACGAGAGGACCGGGACGGACGAACCUCUGGUGUGCCAGUUGUCAUGCCAAUGGCACGGCUGGUUAGCUACGUUCGGAAGGGAUAACCGCUGAAAGCAUCUAAGCGGGAAGCUCGCUUCAAGAUGAGGUCUCCCACCCCUUAGAGGGUUAAGGCCCCCAGCUAGACCACUGGGUUGAUAGGCCAGAAGUGUAAGCCUGGUAACAGGUUCAGCCGACUGGUACUAAUAGGCCGAGGACUUCACCA